CACGAAGGGUGCUAGCGUUGUUCGGAAUUACUGGGCGUAAAGCGCGCGUAGGCGGCUUUUCAAGUCAGGGGUGAAAUCCCACAGCUCAACUGUGGAAUUGCCUUUGAAACUGUAAAGCUUGAGUGUCGGAGGGGAUAGCGGAAUUGCUAAUGUAGAGGUGAAAUUCGUAGAUAUUAGCAGGAACACCGGUGGCGAAGGCGGCUAUCUGGACGACAACUGACGCUGAGGCGCGAAAGCGUGGGGAUCAAACAGG
rnacentral:rRNA from 1 species